GGCCAGAUAGGAAAGUGGUCUAAUCCGACGGUUUCAAGCGAAAGCUUACGCUCAAAGCGUUAACUCCGUUCCUUCGGGGCCAGCGUUCGAAUCGCUGUCUGGUCA